rnacentral:rRNA from 1 species
AAUUCGAAGCAACGCGAAGAACCUUACCAGGCCUUGACAUGUACGGAUUAGCCACGUGAAAGCGUGGUGACAGCUCUUCGGAGUCGGAACGUACACAGGUGUUGCAUGGCUGUCGUCAGCUCGUGCCGUGAGGUGUUGGGUUAAGUCCCGUAACGAGCGAAACCCUUAUCGUUAGUUGCCAGCGGGUUAUGCCGGGGACUCUAGCGAGACUGCCGUUGUCAAAACGGAGGAAGGUGGGGACGACGUCAAGUCAUCAUGGCCCUUAUGGCCUGGGCUACAAACGUGCUACAAUGGUCCAUACAAUGGGUUCCGAAGCCGCGAGGUGUAGGCAAUCCCAUCAAAGUGGGCCCCAGUUCGGAUUGCAGGCUGAAAUUCGCCUGCAUGAAGCCGGAAUCGCUAGUAAUCGCGUAUCAGCCAUGACGCGGUGAAUACGUUCCCGGACCUUGU